UCCUGGCUCAGGAUGAACGCUAGCGACAGGCUUAACACAUGCAAGUCGAGGGGCAGCGGGGGCGUAGCAAUAUGCCUGCCGGCGACCGGCGCACGGGUGAGUAACACGUAUGUAACCUGCCCUAUGCAGGGGGAUAACCCGGAGAAAUCCGGCCUAAUACCGCGUAACACCUUAGGGGAGCAUUCUCUUGAGGUUAAAGGAGAGAUCCGGCAUAGGAUGGACAUGCGUCGCAUUAGGUAGACGGCGGGGUAACGGCCCACCGUGCCGACGAUGCGUAGGGGUUCUGAGAGGAAGGCCCCCCACACUGGUACUGAGACACGGACCAGACUCCUACGGGAGGCAGCAGUGAGGAAUAUUGGUCAAUGGCCGAGAGGCUGAACCAGCCAAGUCGCGUGAGGGAAGAAUGUCCUAAGGAUUGUAAACCUCUUUUGUCGGGGAGCAAAAAGGCUCUGCGGAGUCGUAUUGAGAGUACCCGAAGAAAAAGCAUCGGCUAACUCCGUGCCAGCAGCCGCGGUAAUACGGAGGAUGCGAGCGUUAUCCGGAUUUAUUGGGUUUAAAGGGUGCGCAGGCGGCGUGUCAAGCAAGCGGUAAAAUAGCGGGGCUCAACCCCGUCGAGCCGUUUGAACUGGCGCGCUUGAGUUCAGGCGAGGUAGGCGGAAUUCGUGGUGUAGCGGUGAAAUGCAUAGAUAUCACGAAGAACUCCGAUUGCGAAGGCAGCUUACCAGUCUGCGACUGACGCUCAGGCACGAAAGUGUGGGUAUCGAACAGGAUUAGAUACCCUGGUAGUCCACACAGUAAACGAUGAGCGCUAGGUGUCCGGGUCGCAUGAGACUUGGGUGCCCGAGCGAAAGCGUUAAGCGCUCCACCUGGGGAGUACGCCGGCAACGGUGAAACUCAAAGGAAUUGACGGGGGCCCGCACAAGCGGAGGAACAUGUGGUUUAAUUCGAUGAUACGCGAGGAACCUUACCCGGGCUCAAACGACUCAGGAAUAUAUUGGAAACGAUGUAGCCAGCAAUGGUCUGAGUCGAGGUGCUGCAUGGUUGUCGUCAGCUCGUGCCGUGAGGUGUCGGCUUAAGUGCCAUAACGAGCGCAACCCCUACCGCCAGUUGCCAACGGGUAAAGCCGGGAACUCUGGCGGGACUGCCGGCGCAAGCUGCGAGGAAGGCGGGGAUGACGUCAAAUCAGCACGGCCCUUACGUCCGGGGCGACACACGUGUUACAAUGGCAGGUACAGCGGGAAGCCACCUGGUGACAGGGAGCUGAACCCGAAAGCCUGUCUCAGUUCGGAUUGGAGUCUGCAACUCGACUCCAUGAGGCUGGAUUCGCUAGUAAUCGCGCAUCAGCCAUGGCGCGGUGAAUAAGGUCCCGGGCCUUGUACACACCGCCCGUCA
rnacentral:rRNA from 1 species